rnacentral:piRNA from 1 species
UGCUCGUCUAAUUUGGUAAGA